AUUCAUUAUACAUUGAUGGCAAAAAUAAAGUAUAAUGCACCUACAUAAGUACAAGUUAGUAAUUUAUUUAUUACUUUCAUGUGCUAUAUAUUUGCAGUUCCACAUACUAGUUGAAAAUGAACCAAAUCUUUUUCUUCAGAAUUUUAAAGCAAAAUUUCAGUGAAAUUAUCAAGCCAUAAAAAGCACUGAUCACACAUUGCCCUUUAAUCUAAAGAAUGCUUUGAUUAAUUGACUGUUUUCCAUUUAAGACUUUACCUUUUUCUCUUACCCUUAUUUUUUUCAAGAAAUUUGGAUUUUUCAUGUUUCCUCAUUUCCAAAAUGGCACUCAGAUAUCAUACAAGUUAUUCAAUAGUGACAACUAUUUCAAAUAGGUCUAAAACAAAAUAAGAUAAAAAUGGCCAUAUGGAUAUGAUAACUCAAACAUUGUCAAUUCAAAGUACCCCGUAAACAAUAUAAAUUUCAUCUAUAAACAAAUAAAAUAAUUCCCUAAUACAUAUACAUUCCAGUAUGACAUUAUAAAUAAAACACCCAAUUCAUAGCUUGGAAAGAAAUAUUUCAUUUCAUCUGGAAUGAUCAACAAGGUGAAAAAGAAUCAACAAACACUAAGAGUUAAAUACAAUAAUAAAGCACUCAAAAUGAUAGAUAGCACUCAAAAUCAUUACAGUUAAAAUAUGAAAACUGGUCAAAUAAACAAAUAUUCCCCUUUUUCAAUCAUUCAAAAAAAAAAUGUUUUACUUUGAAAUGAAUUAAGAAAUUGAGACUCUGAUUUUUUUCAUAUUCACAACUGAGUUGCUAGAAAUCUUUUUAGACAAAGGUAAAAUGAUAAAUACUCUUAGGAGGAGGUCAAAGAAAUCUACUAACUGUCGAUUUUUGGCACGGAAAUCAAAUGGGAAAUUUGAAAAAAAAAAAGAAAAAAAGAAAAGAAAAUGAUACUGACCUGUAUAAAAAUCUAUAUUAAUGAUUUGAUUGAUGACAUCGGUCAAAUAAAUGACUCAACAAUACAGCAAUGGUGAGCUACAACUAACUGAUAAACACAAAGAUAUGUCUUGAAUGUCUAAACUAAUCACAAACCUAAACAUGGAAAUGAAAUGUUUCAAAACUUGUACAUCUGUAUACCAUUGACUUACUACAAAAGAUUACCCUUAAACUGACUUCAUUAACUUUAAACUUGAUAGUCUGCUCAGUCAAGAAAAAACUUAUAUUUUGCUUUUAAGACUCUGUUGCAGGUGAGACUAAAUUUUCACACUAAUAUCGGAAUACAAAAUUGUAAAACAAUCAAAUAUAUUCCAAUUACAAAUAGGACAAUCCAUAAACUUAAUUAACAUUAUAAUACAAAGGAUAACAAAUAACUAAUAAACUGUUAUCACAGAAAUAUGUCUCGCCUUUUUGUAAUUUUGAUUAUGCAAAUGUUGAAAUCAAAAUAGCAAUACUUUAACAUCUUACACACAUUAUGAAAAUAUUCAAAGUCAAUGAACCAUGUCUGAGUUACAUGGCUAAACAAUCUCUAUGUAAAUGAGAUGUGCCAAUGCUUAUACAACUGCAUACCAAAUACCAUCAUGACUAAUAUCAAAAGUUGUUCUCAAAUCUUAAUACAAACAUUAACUAGUAAACUAUAGAAAAGUUUCAAAGCCAAUAAGAGGGGGUGGGGCUAUAUGAUCUCCAUGGAAACGAUACUUGCAAAUGCCAAUAAAUAUGCAUACCAAAUAUCAUUGACUUAAAAUUAGCAGUUCAUCUUAAACUGAUCUAAUCACAAACUAACACAUGUAAACUAAGAUAAGUUUCAAAGUCAUUAGACUGUGACUGAGGGGUGAGGACAAAUAUUAUCCAUGGAAAUGAGAUUUGCCAAUGCUUAUACAACUGAAUACCAAUUAAUACAAUUAUCACAUGGCCGACCACUAAUAGUUCCCCUUGAAUUGACCUAAUCACAAACUAAUACAUGAUAACUCAGAAAAAUUUUCAAAGUCAAUAGACCAUGACUAAGGGGGCGGAGCCAAAUUAUCUCCAUAGAAAUGAGAUAUGUCGAUGCUUACACAACUUCAUACCAAAUAUCAUUGAUCUACCACUUUGGGUUCCCCAUAAACUGACCUAAUCACAAACUAAUACAUGUAAAAUAAGCAAACGUUUCAAAGUCAAUAGACCAUGACUACGGUGCGUAGCUAAAUUAUCGCCAUGGAAAUGGGGUAUGCAGAUGCUUACACAACUGCAUACCAAAUAUGAUUGACCUAUCACUUGUUGUUUCCAAUAAACCGACCUAAUCACAAACUAAUACAUGUAAACAUGGUAAAAUAAGCAAACGUUUCGAAGUCAAUAGACCAUGACUGAGGGGGCAGGGCCAUAUAAUCUCCAUGGAAAGGAGAUGUGCCAAUGCUUAUACAACUGCAUACCAAAUAUGAUUGACCUACCACUUGUGGUUCAUCAUAAACUAGACCUAAUCACAAACUAAUACAUUGUUGAAGCCGCCGUUGCCGCCUCCGCUGGAAACAGCAUACCUAUGUCUCGCUUUUUGACUCUGUCAAGGCGAGACAAAAUUAGUGUAUACAAGGAAACUAUUUUGUUAUACUUUGUCAAACGAGAUAAGUUUUUAAAUGGAAAAUAUUCAGAAUCUCAGUUUGCUUAAAGUAUAUGCACUGAUAACAAUUAAUAUUUCUACAUUGACUUAAUUGUAAAUAAUUGUAAAAAAAACCUUCUACAAUAAAAU
rnacentral:lncRNA from 1 species